rnacentral:ncRNA from 1 species
AAGGUGGUUGUCCGAAAAACCUUGAAUAGAGUAGGGC